rnacentral:rRNA from 1 species
UACGUAGGGUGCAAGCGUUAAUCGGAAUUACUGGGCGUAAAGCGUGCGCAGGCGGUUUUGUAAGUUUGUCGUGAAAGCCCCGGGCUCAACCUGGGAAUUGCGAUGAAGACUGCAAGGCUUGAAUCUGGCAGAGGGGGGUAGAAUUCCACGUGUAGCAGGUGAAAUGCGUAGAGAUGUGGAGGAACACCGAUGGCGAAGGCAGCCCCCUGGGUCAAGAUUGACGCUCAUGCACGAAAGCGUGGGGAGCGAACAGG